CUUUUUACCUGAGUGGGGAACCUACCAUUAUGUGGCCAAGUAAGAAAAGAUGUAGCUGUACCAUUCAAGCCCUUUUCAAGUUAACAAGGAGGACGGUGGCUUUCAGUGGAACGUCCUGCUGAGCUGUGUGCUCCUGCCUAGAUGGAACUUGCAGCAGCCACUGAGCCCCCUCCAGGCUUCAUUGGCAGCCUAACGUGCUGAGAGACUGGAGGGCAAGAAGAUUUUGUGGUUAAUAGUGAGGCAGACUGGAAUAUAAAUACAGUUUUGUGCACCCCAAAAAGAGAAGCAAUAAGUGUUUGUUAGUCUCCCAGAGGUCUAAAAGUCUUGUAUGAAGUACAGGUGGUGUGGUGGUUUUAUUACAGCACUUUUGCAAUGUUUUCAAAUUCUCUCAGUGUUCCACUUUUCACAUGCCUUUGGAAUAUUAAAUUCUAAUUCAUAACAUCCAUACAAUGACAUAUCUGUAAAAGAGGUAAUUUGCAGAUUAGCACUGGGUCAGAGGAAGGGAAGGGAGCUGGACACCGUGGGUAGCUCUUUCCUGCUGAAGCUGUAGGGAUCCCUGCUGUGGCAUUCUCUCCAUCAGGGACAGGUCAGUCAGAUCUGUGAUACAAAGCCUUGCUUGAACUCUCAGGAAUCAAAGGUGGCUUUCCAGGAUUUUAUUUGUUUCCAUUUACAGUUUAAUGCAUAGAAUCAGUUGAUCAAAUUUCCCUCUAUAUUCAAAGCAUGGAUAAAGGGACACAUGAAGCUAUGCCUGCCUGAGAGGGCAACAUAGUGCAACAGGAGCUGUAGAGUCAGGGCUGGAUGCCCAAGGUGUGCACUGCCUGCCUGUUAGUAGCUCUAACAUCAGACUGGGGCUAGGGUGCCACACAGGUAGACUGUGCCAGGUGUGCCCUGGCACACUGAAGAGCAUCCAGUUUGCAGUCCAGAGACUUCCCAAUAUGAACUCAAACAGGAAAGAGAAAUAUUAUGUAAUAUCAAAGCCCCUUUCCUGAGUGGAACUAAAAUCUAUCACUGAGUCUACUUUGAGUGGAAAGUCCAGUAGCUUGGGCACUGUUUUUCUCUAGAAGGUGUGCAUAGUCUUUGCACUGCGCAGUACAGCCAGAAAAUUUCAGGAGAAAUGGGGUUUGGAGCAGAGGCAAAGAAUAGCUAAUUAAAUUAUUUUCAUAAAUAAAACAUAAGCUGCUAUAUUUGAAUCUAGACUAUUAUUUUUCUUCUUCUAGGAAUCUGGAAUGAACUUUGCCAAAAUAUUAGGAUUUCUGACUGACUUGUCACUCCCCCUCAGCCAUCUUUCAAAUGGGUCAAAAUGUAAAUGCAGUAUCUUGUACAUAAAGUGAAGUCUUCCUCCAGCAGCUGAUUCACUGACAGGAAGAGUCUAUUGCCUAGCUACAGCUCAAAGAAGAUUAUUCUGAACUUUUAAGGUGGAAAUAUAUGCUUUUUGGUGCUGAAGAUCCUGAGCUUGACUCUCAGUGUUUAUUGCACUGCAAGAAUGGAAGCAGCAAAGUCAUAUUUUCUACAGUGUAAUGUGGUGCCACUGUACCAGCUGACACCAGUUAGUGCUAUACGCUGCUAUCCUAUUUCGGCAGAUGUAGGGAUGUAGGAACAGCCUCUAAGGCAAUGGUCAGUCACUUAGGAAAGUCUCAGCUACUUGUUGCACUUUCUUCUGGCAUUUUAGAGGAAACUAUUCUGGCCACAAGGCUAUGGUGUAGAGGAAACAGGAACCUGGCUUUGUAGAGCUCAGUAUGUUCAGUCAUAUGCCUCAGCACAGUUUGAGUACUGUUUUUAUUUCCAAACUAGUUUUACUUCCAAGCAGUUGAAGAAUUUUAGGGUUUUAGGAAAAAAGGCUUUUGAAAGUUUAUCUUUGAAGACAUGUCUUUGGUGAGUAUCAGCUAAUGUAGGACCACUGAAUUAAACAGAAAUAUUUGAGUAUCAUCAAGGGGGUAAUUCUUUAUAUCAGCUGAAGCAAACGCCUCAAAUGUAGCUGGAAAUGUACCAUUUCAUGCUAAAUAAUUCUUUAUGCAUUUAUACUUUGUUUUGCAUGGCAGUCUUUUACCCAAGAUUCUAAAAACCUGAAUAGACUUAAGCAUCUUCUAGAAAUUGUGACUUCUGAUUUCUAGCUAUAGGUAACCAAGAUGCAUUCUCUAACACACAAAAGACAGUCUCUCCUCCCUCCCUCUUUUCUGUUUUGGGUCUUCUUUGCACUGAAGAAACUCUGUCCCAUGCAGACCCUCUAGCACAGUUGGUGACUGUCCUAAGAGUACAAGCUCUUUUCAGCAGGUUUAACAUUAUGAGGCCACAUCUCUCAUGUAAUAAGGACUCUACAGUGCAUCUGGGAAACUUGGGGCAAAUAUCCAUCCUAUUUGCCUUCAAAAUUAAUUGAAAAAGCGCAUCACUGGUAGCUUGGUGACUGCCUCAGAACACACAGACUGGUUUCUGUUUUGGAUGUCAUCUAUCCAUAGCUCCCAUAAAAUUUAUGGACACUAGGCACAAAGACAGGCAGUUUUCCUGAACCUGUACCUCAACACAAUUUCAGCACAUCUCUCUCUUUUUUUGUGUCAUUCUCUCAGAGUAUGUUCACAUUCCAAUGUUUGCUGAUACACUGAUGGCAAUCUUUCUGUAUGAACAAGAGCAAAUAAUAGCUUUUGAGAAAGUAUUAUUGAAAGGUGUGUUAAAAAUUGCUCAGUAGCCAGAAAGCAGUUACCUUAUUUAAGUCUAAGCGAAACAUUAGAGACUUUUGAAGAUGAUAAAUAGUCUGUUUGGAUCAUUUUAAAAGAUUCGCUAAGCAAUGGCUUCUUUUUCUAAAUGCUAAAACCCAAAAUGUCAUC